GGGGCCAUAGCUCAGCUGGGAGAGCACCUGCUUUGCAAGCAGGGGGUCGGCGGUUCGAUCCCGCCUAGCUCCACCA
rnacentral:tRNA from 1 species